GAGACGGAUACACAAGGGGAAGGCAAAGAGAUAGAUUUGUGAGGGAGUUGGGGGUAGGGAAGUGCGGGAUAUUGGGGUUGUUUGAUAAGAAAAGUUCCCUUCAGUAUUAGCAGGACUGCAAAGGGAAGUUGUCUCUUAUUUGGAGAGACUGUAAAAAGUUCCAUAUUUUUAAUUUUUUUGUUUUUGCCUUUCUUUGCACUGUACACAGUUGUAAUGAAGCUUUCCUAAAAUACACAAUUUAAAAGUGCCAUUCCCUGGUGUAGCUGUUGUUUACUGCUUUGACUUGUUUUUCCAUCUCUGUUACCAGGACAACAGGCUAUAAAACUAAUGUUUCGUUCACUUCGAAUUUGCCCUCGACUUCUUCUUUCCUAUAAGUUGAAAAGUCAGAGAGCAUUUGAUGCAAAAUUAGGAGAGGAUUGUGUUCCAAACGUGGCAGAGAAAACAGAUUUUGGUGAAAGUGUGGUCUAAAAAAGGACACACCUGCUUCAUCUGCAUAUAAUGCUAUCUUCUAAUUAGUAUGUUUAUCCUGUUAUAAAACUAUCAUUCAAAAUUCUUUAAUAACAACAAGCUGCUUUGAAUCUAUUGGCUAAAGUAUGGCCUGCAUUGUGAUUUGGUGCUGUGCAUGCUCCUUGGGAGUGCCUCAUCCCCCCACUUUGCCGUUGGCUUUAUAAUAAUUAUAUUUAGGUUUUUUUUUUUUUAGAUAUGGAAUCUGGUUCAAAUAACUGCAUCACAAUGAGAACUGACAAAGCAUGGCACUUUAUCAAAAUUUGACCGUAUUGAAUUUUAAAAGGCAAACUGCUGUGCAGAUUUUGUCUAAGCACAUUUUUAAUCAAAUUGUAGGGCUUUUACUGGCAUAAGGAGAUACCAUAUGAAGGUCAUCUUGGACCAAAAGCAUGCCGUUUAAGCUUUGAAAGCUGUGCUUCUCACACCUUGAGUCUUCAGUGCAUGGCUUCCCUAAAUAAGGCUUUUUUUAUUUUUAUCACUGCCUGAAAUGUGUCAGGAGCGUCCUAUGAUGGUGCAUAAGUCCUACGGUGCUCCUAUAUCCUUGUCAAUCUGUCAGUCCUGACUUCUAGCUGAAGGAUAACAGGAGAAGUGAUGGAGGAGAGCACAAACUUUGAUUGCCUUUUAUCGAUUUAAACUCGUACAGCAGGAUGUCUGUGUAGUUCACACUUAAUAAUUGAACGCAACAUUUCAUAACUAUAAAUCAACAAAGUUCAAAGAACAUCUUUCUUUCUUUCUUUCUUUCUUUCUUUCUUUCUUUCUUUCUUUCUUUCUUUCUUUCUUUCUUUCUUUCUUUCUUUCUUUUAUUAACAUCAGCAUCAGCCUCAGCUGUUCUUCCUAGGUUGCAUAAUUAGUGCUGCUUUGCCGAAGUCGCUGGCGUGGGCCAUUUAGACUCAAGGCAUCCUUUGGGGUCUGUGCUCAGAUUUAGGAUUAUGUCAGUUAAAGGGAUGUGACUCAUCAGAGUUACUGUUUUGAAGAACUGUGUUUAACUGUAUAUAAAACUGUAUAUAAAACAUGGACACAGUCCUGGUGACAGUAGUCAUGCUACAUUUUUAAGCAGCAACAUUAGGGCGCCGUCAUGUUGGGGUUUCUUUUAUCUGGGGUGCCAGUUUAGCUCACCUGGUUAUGUAAAUCUGUAAAAAAUGACCAACAAAAUAAUGUUUAAAACAAAAAUUACAGUAUUUGGUUUGGUUGGUUUGUGGCAUACUGUAUUAUCAUCAAAUGCUAACAAGCUUCAUUAGUCAUUUCCUGUGUACCUGCAAUCCACAGUCACACAUAUCUGGUGAUAAGUAAAAGAAUAACAAAAUGAAACAAAAACUGAGGCACAAACUGUAGCAGAGAAAGCCUCAGAUAAGUCUAUUAAUAUGCUCCAGUGGAAAAGUCCUGUUUAACUUCUCAAAUUACAGAUGAUUAGCAGACUUUGACUGGCUGAAAACCAAAGUGGCCACACCUUUAUACUUAGGCCUUAUCAUAUAUGAUACUAGAAUAGGUUUUAAAAAAGAAAAAACUGUAUGAAAGAGGACACCAUCCCAAGAAGCCAAAACAUGAGCGUACCUGGACUGACUUGCUUUUGGAGCCAGUCUCAAAGAGAAAUGCAGUUUUGGCACUUCGGUGCUGGCUUCAUUUUUAGCCCUGAAGUUUCCUGCUUGGUUUUAACCCAAAUCACAAUCUUUUUCUGACACACAUCAAAGUAGUUUUCGGUGCCUAAACCUAACCAGUGAGUGAAAGCAAAAGAAUUAACCAAAUGAAAAAAAAAAAAAAAUCUGCCACCAGAUGCAACUUAAAUAAUUCAGUAUCUAGUGACACUAUUUUCUACUUCAGUCUACUUGUAGCUUUCUACUUGUAACCUUCUGAAAUGAAGGGACAAUGGAGGUUGAGGGUAGUGAGAAAUGUGCAUGAUCACAAUAUUUGUUACUUGCGAAUGCCUUUCAAGAGAGACUGAAGUUGCAAAGCCAUUGUCCAUGUUCAUUAUACCUAUUUUUGAAUGGUUUCUCCCUUUACAUCCAUCC
ensembl:lncRNA